UCCCUUUGGUUUCUUUAUUCCUCCCCAGGUUAUGGGAUCAUUGCUUCGAUUGACAUUUUGGGGGAGAGCAAGCAGGCUUAGAGGAAGGGAGACUACACUGGGUGUUGUGGAGCAGGGAUGCCACCAGUGGCUGUCUCUGACCUAACGUGGCUAUGGCUGGACAUUUCUGUCUCAAGCACACACUGGAACAUGCUAGUGAAGGAACUCUACACAAGCAAAGUCAAGUCUCGAAGCGACCGUGGUAACAAGAUGCGCAGCGCCCAACCCUCGAAGGGAGAAUCACUCAGAAAGCACAAGAACAAGAAAUCCUAACAGACAGGAGGGGGCCAACGAAUCAUUCUUUCCUCUGCUGGCCCAGCUUGCACUUCUCUGCCAUGUCUGUCUGUCUGUUGGCCCAACUGCCCAUCUGCCUGUCUGUCCACCUCCCCCCCUCGCCCCCGUGUGUGUCUGUAUGUCAGUGAGGAAGCAUGCCUGUGGUUGCCAGAGGACUAGUUCAGUUGUCACGUCUCUGGCUACCUUUUCUCUUAAGACAGGUUUUCUGACUGGCCCGGAAUUUGCCUAGUAGACUGGGCUGGCUAGCCAGAGAGUUCCAGGGACCCACUGGUCUCUCCCUCUCCAGGGCGAGGAUUACAAGCAUGUGCU
rnacentral:sRNA from 1 species